rnacentral:rRNA from 1 species
GACGAACGCUGGCGGCGUGCUUAACACAUGCAAGUCGAACGGAAAGGCCCUGCUUUUGUGGGGUGCUCGAGUGGCGAACGGGUGAGUAACACGUGAGUAACCUGCCCUUGACUUUGGGAUAACUUCAGGAAACUGGGGCUAAUACCGGAUAGGAGCUCCUGCUGCAUGGUGGGGGUUGGAAAGUUUCGGCGGUUGGGGAUGGACUCGCGGCUUAUCAGCUUGUUGGUGGGGUAGUGGCUUACCAAGGCUUUGACGGGUAGCCGGCCUGAGAGGGUGACCGGCGACAUUGGGACUGAGAGACGGCGCAGACUCCUACGGGAGGCAGCAGUGGGGAAUAUUGCACAAUGGGCGGAAGCCUGAUGCAGCAACGCCGCGUGCGGGAUGACGGCCUUCGGGUUGUAAACCGCUGUCGCCUGUGACGAAGCGUGAGUGACGGUAAUGGGUAAAGAAGCACCGGCUAACUACGUG